AUACGGAGGGUCCAAGCGUUAUCCGGAAUCAUUGGGUUUAAAGGGUCCGCAGGCGGUCAAUUAAGUCAGAGGUGAAAGCCCAUCGCUCAACGAUGGAACUGCCUUUGAUACUGGUUGACUUGAGUUAUACGGAAGUAGAUAGAAUAAGUAGUGUAGCGGUGAAAUGCAUAGAUGUUACUUAGUAUACCGAUUGCGAAGGCAGUCUACUACGUAUAUACUGACGCUGAGGGACGAAAGCGUGGGGAGCGAACAUGAUUAGAAACCCCAGUAGUCC
rnacentral:rRNA from 1 species